UACGAAGGGGGCUAGCGUUGUUCGGAUUUACUGGGCGUAAAGCGCACGUAGGCGGAUCGUUAAGUCGGGGGUGAAAUCCUGGAGCUCAACUCCAGAACUGCCUUCGAUACUGGCGAUCUUGAGUCCGGAAGAGGUGAGUGGAAUUCCUAGUGUAGAGGUGGAAUUCGUAGAUAUUAGGAAGAACACCAGUGGCGAAGGCGGCUCACUGGUCCGGUACUGACGCUGAGGAGCGAAAGCGUGGGGAGCGAACAGG
rnacentral:rRNA from 1 species